rnacentral:rRNA from 1 species
AACCUGCCUCAAAGAGGGGGAAAACAGGAGGAAACGACUGCUAAUACCGGAUAAGCCCAAGGGAUGGGCAUGAGGCAGAGGGAAAAGGAGCAAUCCGGUUUGAGAUGGCCUCGCGUCCGAUUAGCUAGUUGGUGAGGUAACGGCCCACCAAGGCGACGAUCGGUAGCCGGACUGAGAGGUUGAACGGCCACAUUGGGACUGAGACACGGCCCAGACUCCUACGGGAGGCAGCAGUGGGGAAUAUUGCACAAUGGGGGAAACCCUGAUGCAGCGACGCCGCGUGGAGGAAGAAGGUCUUCGGAUUGUAAACUCCUGUUGUUGAGGAAGAUAAUGACGGUACUCAACAAGGAAGUGACGGCUAACUACGUGCCAGCAGCCGCGGUAAAACGUAGGUCACAAGCGUUGUCCGGAAUUACUGGGUGUAAAGGGAGCGCAGGCGGGAAGACAAGUUGGAAGUGAAAUCCAUGGGCUCAACCCAUGAACUGCUUUCAAAACUGUUUUUCUUGAGUAGUGCAGAGGUAGGCGGAAUUCCCGGUGUAGCGGUGGAAUGCGUAGAUAUCGGGAGGAACACCAGUGGCGAAGGCGGCCUACUGGGCACCAACUGACGCUGAGGCUCGAAAGUGUGGGUAGCAAACAGGAUUAGAUACCCUGGUAGUCCACACUGUAAACGAUGAUUACUAGGUGUUGGAGGAUUGACCCCUUCAGUGCCGCAGUUAACACAAUAAGUAAUCCACCUGGGGAGUA